rnacentral:rRNA from 1 species
GUGCCAGCAGCCGCGGUAAAACGUAGGACGCAAACGUUAUCCGGAAUUACUGGGCGUAAAGGGCGCGCAGGCGGUCGGGUAAGUGAGGCAUGAAAGCCUCAGGCUAAACCUGAGGAAGCUGUCUGAGACUGUCCGACUAGAGUGCGAUAGAGGGGUGUAGAAUUCCGCGUGUAGUGGUGAAAUGCGUAGAGAUGCGGAGGAAUACCAGAGGCGAAGGCGGCACCCUGGAUCGUAACUGACGCUGAGGCGCGAAAGCAUGGGUAGCGAACGGGAUUAGAAACCCCCGUAGUCC